rnacentral:rRNA from 1 species
AACGGACGCUGGCGGCAUGCCUAACACAUGCAAGUCGAACGAGACCUUCGGGUCUAGUGGCGCACGGGUGCGUAACGCGUGGGAACCUGCCCUUAGGUUCGGAAUAACUCCCCGAAAGGGGUGCUAAUACCGGAUAAUGUCUUCGGACCAAAGAUUUAUCGCCUUUGGAUGGGCCCGCGUUGGAUUAGCUAGUUGGUAGGGUAAAAGCCUACCAAGGCGACGAUCCAUAGCUGGUCUGAGAGGAUGAUCAGCCACACUGGGACUGAGACACGGCCCAGACUCCUACGGGAGGCAGCAGUGGGGAAUAUUGGACAAUGGGCGAAAGCCUGAUCCAGCAAUGCCGCGUGAGUGAUGAAGGCCUUAGGGUUGUAAAGCUCUUUUACCCGGGAUGAUAAUGACAGUACCGGGAGAAUAAGCUCCGGCGAACUCCGU